CCUACGGGAGGCAGCAGUGAGGAAUAUUGGUCAAUGGGCGAGAGCCUGAACCAGCCAAGUCGCGUGAAGGAUGACGGCCCUACGGGUUGUAAACUUCUUUUGUCAGGGAGCAAUUGAGUCCACGUGUGGGCUUAGCGAGAGUACCUGAAGAAAAAGCAUCGCCUAACUCCGUGCCAGCAGCCGCGGUAAUACGGAGGAUGCGAGCGUUAUCCGGAUUAAUUGGGUUAAAGGGGUGCGUAGGCGGAAUGUCAAGUCAGCGGUAAAAAUUCGGGGCUCAACCCCGUAGUGCAGUGGAAACUGGUGUUCUUGAGUGGGCGAGAGGUAUGCGGAAUGCGUGGUGUAGCGGUGAAAUGCAUAGAUAUCACGCAGAACUCCGAUUGCGAAGGCAGCAUACCGUCGCCCAACUGACGCUGAAGCACGAAGGCGUGGGUAUCGAACAGGAUUAGAUACCCUGGUAGUC
rnacentral:rRNA from 1 species